CAGCCAGCUCUGAUCUUGCCCUCCCUGAAGGUCUGUUACUGAGCUCCCCGAGGUCCCCUCAUUGUGCGUCAGCUCGGGCCAGCUCAGUACAGGAUGCGUCGGGGUGGGAGACAGCAGGAAACAAGCAA
rnacentral:miRNA from 14 species